CAGCCGCCGCGGGAAUACGAAGGGUGCAAGCGUUACUCGGAAUUACUGGGCGUAAAGCGUGCGUAGGCGGCUUUUUAAGUCGGAUGUGAAAUCCCUGAGCUUAACUUAGGAAUUGCAUUCGAUACUGGGAAGCUAGAGUAUGGGAGAGGAUGGUAGAAUUCCAGGUGUAGCGGUGAAAUGCGUAGAGAUCUGGAGGAAUACCGAUGGCGAAGGCAGCCAUCUGGCCUAAUACUGACGCUGAGGUACGAAAGCAUGGGGAGCAAACAGGAUUAGAUACCCCCGUAGUCCCUGUCUCUUAUAC
rnacentral:rRNA from 1 species